UACGUAGGGUGCGAGCGUUAAUCGGAAUUACUGGGCGUAAAGCGUGCGCAGGCGGUUCGUUAAGUCAGUUGUGAAAGCCCCGGGCUCAACCUGGGAAUUGCGGUUGAAACUGGCGAACUAGAAUCUGGCAGAGGGGGGUGGAAUUCCACGUGUAGCAGUGAAAUGCGCAGAUAUCGGGAGGAACACCAGUAGCGAAGGCGGCUCGCUGGGCCACACCUGACGCUGAGACGCGAAAGCUAGGGGAGCGAACAGG
rnacentral:rRNA from 1 species